rnacentral:rRNA from 1 species
AUUGAACGCUGGCGGCAUGCCUUACACAUGCAAGUCGAACGAGUGGCGAACGGGUGAGUAAUACAUCGGAACGUGAACAGUCGUGGGGGAUAACUACUCGAAAGAGUAGCCAAUACCACAUACGAGUGGAACGGCCGUUGGCGGAUUAGGGAGGUGGUGGGAUAAAAGCUUACCAAGCCGACGAUGCUUAGCUGGUCUGAGAGGACGACCAGCCACACUGGGACUGAGACACGGCCCAGACUCCUACGGGAGGCAGCAGUGGGGAAUUUUGGACAAUGGGCGAAAGCCUGAUCCAGCAAUGCCGCGUGAAGGAUGAAGGCCUUCGGGUUGUAAACUGCUUUUGUACGGAACGCGGUACCGUAAGAAUAAGCACCGGCUAACUACGUGCCAGCAGCCGCGGUAAUUC